ACUUAAAUUGAAGAGUUUGAUCAUGGCUCAGAUUGAACGCUGGCGGCAGGCCUAACACAUGCAAGUCGAGCGGUAGCACAGAGAGCUUGCUCUCGGGUGACGAGCGGCGGACGGGUGAGUAAUGUCUGGGAAACUGCCUGAUGGAGGGGGAUAACUACUGGAAACGGUAGCUAAUACCGCAUAACGUCGCAAGACCAAAGUGGGGGACCUUCGGGCCUCAUGCCAUCAGAUGUGCCCAGAUGGGAUUAGCUAGUAGGUGGGGUAACGGCUCACCUAGGCGACGAUCCCUAGCUGGUCUGAGAGGAUGACCAGCCACACUGGAACUGAGACACGGUCCAGACUCCUACGGGAGGCAGCAGUGGGGAAUAUUGCACAAUGGGCGCAAGCCUGAUGCAGCCAUGCCGCGUGUGUGAAGAAGGCCUUCGGGUUGUAAAGCACUUUCAGCGGGGAGGAAGGCGUUAAGGUUAAUAACCUUGGCGAUUGACGUUACCCGCAGAAGAAGCACCGGCUAACUCCGUGCCAGCAGCCGCGGUAAUACGGAGGGUGCAAGCGUUAAUCGGAAUUACUGGGCGUAAAGCGCACGCAGGCGGUCUGUCAAGUCGGAUGUGAAAUCCCCGGGCUCAACCUGGGAACUGCAUUCGAAACUGGCAGGCUAGAGUCUUGUAGAGGGGGGUAGAAUUCCAGGUGUAGCGGUGAAAUGCGUAGAGAUCUGGAGGAAUACCGGUGGCGAAGGCGGCCCCCUGGACAAAGACUGACG
rnacentral:rRNA from 1 species